rnacentral:rRNA from 1 species
UACGUAGGUGACCAGCGUUGUCCGGAUUUACUGGGCGUAAAGAGCGCGCAGGCGGUCGUUCAAGUCGAGUGUGAAAGCCCCCGGCUCAACUGGGGAGGGUCACUCGAUACUGAUCGACUGGAAGGCAGGAGAGGGUAGUGGAAUUCCCGGUGUAGUGGUGAAAUGCGUAGAUAUCAGGAAGAACACCCGUGGCGAAGGCGGCUCUCUGGAACGCAACUGACGCUGAGACGCGAAAGCGUGGGGAGCAAACAGG